rnacentral:lncRNA from 1 species
GAUGCGGUGGAGCACAGACUGAAGCAGCAUAAUCCCCUGCCGAAGGGCAGAGACAAAAGUAGAAAUGUAUCUAUGUGUUUAAAUGCAAGCUAUACGCUAGAGGAGUUCUAUUUCCUUCAACCUAAAAUAAUUAAGCAACCAAAACAACAAACUCAGUGGAUUCAAUUUAUUUGGGUUCAGUGGAGCAGAGAAUUAAAGAAUUAAAAUUAAAGCCAACAACACAAGCUGUAAAAAGCAGAGGCACUCAGUUUAGUUAUUCUGAAUGGAUUAAAUUUGUCCUGAUGGUCAGUACUUCUCAGGUUAACAAGAAAAAUAUCAUCAUGCCAGGGUUAAUUCAGGAAAAACAAACAAACGACAACCAGAACUAAAAGGAAACUAAGAACAAAUGAAAAAGGAGGCUCUCAGUAUAUUGUUUUGAAUGGAUUGAAGUGUCUUUCAUAGAAGAAACAAGUCUCAGGUUAACGAGAAAAACAUCACAGAAGCCUCCACAACUUUAGAAGCACCAAGAAACAGAAGUAAAAGAAAUUUUUGGAAAUAAACAGCAAGUAAAGUUGGAGGAUCUCAGUCCAGAGUUUUGAAUGGAUUUAAGCGUCUUUCAUAGAAGAAACAAGUCUCAGGUUAACGAGAAAGACAUCACAGAAGCCUCCAUACAACUUAAGAAACACUAAGAAACUGAAGUAAAGGAAAUUUUGGAAAGAAACGGGUAAGUAAAGUUGGAGGAUCUCAGUCUAGAGUUUUGAAUGGAUUUAAGCGUCUUUCAUAGAAGAAACAAGUCUCAGGUUAACGAGAAAGACAUCAUUGUAACCUCCAACUUUGCAACACAGGUAUUUACAUGCCGGGAUGCAAGUCACAAAAAAGUAUACAAACAAGAUUAUUAGGAAGUAGGAACACAUGGUACACCCCUCACCACGCUACAAUAUCAGCAAGAUAUUAAAGCUGCUCAGAUAAGUUUUGGAAUGGAUAGAUAUAGUCCUCAUGGUAGAUCUCAGGUUAACGAGAAAACCAUCAUUGCAGCCACCAAAAAUAAUAAGCAAAUCGUAGUGUAAAAAGAUGUUCACUUCUAUGCAUUAUAAUUGAAUAGAAACAAUUGUGAGAAAGACAAUGAGCAUAGGAUACUCCAAAGGGAACAAAACAAUAAAUAUGCUCAACAACAGCAGAAGAAUCAAUAGAACUGGAGGUGCUCAGCACUUUCAGGUAAAAAUGAACUUUGUAUCAUCACUUCUAGCAAUAUUGCUUAACAAGAAGCCAUUAUUGCCAGUACUCUUGAAUUCCUGAGAAUAUGUAUGUGUGUAUGCAUGUGUGAUGACUGACAGGUUGCCUUCCAGAUAGAUAGAUAGAUAGAUAGACAGACAGACAGGCAGGAAGGCAGCCAGGCAGGCAGGCAGAGAGAGAGAGAGAGAGAGAGAGAGAGAGAGAGAGAGAGAGAGAGAGAGAGAGAGAGAGAGGAGACCAUUUGGCAAGAGUACCCGGAUUAGAAAGAAUCAUCACAGCACCCUCCAGUUCCCGCGUGUUUUAACACAUGAACAUGUCAAUGAACUUACGAAAACAUCGAAAAGAGCAUCAUAGUAGGCUUGAAGCCUCCCACUUUUUGAAGAAAAAGAUAAAUGUAAGCGCUCACUAUUGUGUUCAUCAUGACACUUCAAUCUUGUAUACCUUGGUUUGAAAAAUCAUGAAUCCUUUUCAAACAAAAAAAACAACUUUCAAAACACAUAAGAUUAUCUACUUGCCAUGCAACUUAAAUAUAUUGUCUUAAAACAUCAGAUAAAACCCGUUUGUUGCUUACACGAAAUGAACGCUUUAGAACAAAACAACUCAAAGCAAAGUAUUUCAGUACCUU